GACAGAGGGUGCAAACGUUGCUCGGAAUUACUGGGCGUAAAGCGCGUGUAGGCGGGUUUCCAAGUCAGAUGUGAAAUCCCUGGGCUCAACCCCAGGAACUGCAUUUGAAACUGGGAGUCUUGAGUAUCGGAGAGGAAAGCGGAAUUCCUGGUGUAGAGGUGAAAUUCGUAGAUAUCAGGAGGAACACCGGUGGCGAAGGCGGCUUUCUGGACGAUAACUGACGCUGGAGACGCGAAAGCGUGGGGAGCAAACAGG
rnacentral:rRNA from 1 species